ensembl:snRNA U6 U6 spliceosomal RNA
AUGCUAAUUUUAGCAGCACAUGUACUAAAAUUGAAACAAUAAAGAGAAGAUCAGCAUGGCUCCUGUUUAAGGAUGACAUGCACAUUCAUGAAACUUUAUUUUU